UACGAGUGGUCCAAGCGUUAUCCGGAAUUAUUGGGCGUAAAGGAUGUGUAGGUGGUUAUGUUAGUCUGGUGUCUAACCUCUGAGCUCAACUUGGAGACAGCAUUGGAAACGGCAUGGCUAGAGUAUGUGAGGGGUAAGCGGAACUAAUAGUGUAGGGGGUGAAAUCCGUUGAUAUUAUUGGGAACACCAAAAAGCGAAGGCAGCUUACUGGCACAUUCUGACACUGGAACAUGAAAGCGUGGGUAGCGAAUGGG
rnacentral:rRNA from 1 species